UACUCCUACGGGAGGCAGCAGUGGGGAAUAUUGCACAAUGGGGGAAACCCUGAUGCAGCGAUGCCGCGUGGAGGAAGAAGGUUUUCGGAUUGUAAACUCCUUUUAUCAGGGACGAUAAUGACGGUACCUGAAGAAAAAGCUCCGGCUAACUACGUGCCAGCAGCCGCGGUAAUACGUAGGGAGCGAGCGUUGUCCGGAAUUACUGGGCGUAAAGCGCUCGUAGGCGGUAUGUCAAGUCAGGGGUGAAAUC
rnacentral:rRNA from 1 species